UUUAAAAACCCCAUUAUGUAUCAAUAUAAACAAUCAGAUGCGGUUGACGCCUUUUCAUUGCGACAUAUUGAGUUGACAGAACUCUGGAAAGUAAUAUGAAAGUGAAUUGUGACAUCUGUUGCACUCUGUCUUCACAGCAAAUAAAGUUAUUUCAACAUCGUUUAAUUGAAACAAGAGUUAGCGCUAGUUUUACAGUGUUGCUAAUGGUAACGGCUAAAUUAACUAGCAGAGAUGGAGGAAGAAAGGAAGAAGAGGUCUGUCAGCAAGUUAGCUAACGUUACCAUCACUGCAACAGGUGCAAUGGGACAUUUUGGGACAUGGACAUAUACCAGCUCACCUCCGCCAAGGAAAUGAAAAGGGGCUUUGACGACAAAUAAAUCACCAGUUGACUGUGUUUGGAGCCUGUGGAGAAGUUCUGCGAGUUUUUUUAAGACAUCCCAGUUUCAUCCCUGUUUUGUUUUUAAGCUGAGCAUUACAAUCAGAAGUUGGCUUUAAUCAGUGAGGAUGUUUUUGUAUGCUGAGCAUAUGAAUAAAACGUACAUGAUAUAUUCACGCCCAGGCCACACUGCCUACCUCUACCUGUGCGUGACGGCUACCUCUGAACUGCUGCUGCUCGCACGCUUGUGGUGUCCACACAGACAGCGUUGCUGCUACUGCCAGCCUUAUCUGUCUACAUUGAGUUUGCCUUUGAUAAUGUUCAUCAAUAAUAGAAUGUUUCAUUUCAUUUAUAUUUAGUUUAGACAGAAAAAGGUUAAGAAACGUGUGGUCAAUUGUAAAAAAACAAAAAAUACAAACGCUCUGAGUCUUUAGUAUUUCGUUUUCAUUCUAAAGUGUUGGUUAAUGUCUGUACUGUCACUUUUAAGAGAUUGCAUAUUUUUGGAUUAUUAUCAAUUGGAUUAUUAUUGUCAAGGAACUUGCUAGUUGGGGGACGUUGGGGUGCGCGCACCAUGCAUACCUUGGGUGGAAGAAGUUGAUUGUCCUGCAACUGCAGCCGGAGUUGGUAGUGUUCCGAUUUAAAGCCAAAAUGCAUUACCUUCGACUGUAUUCAGCUGAUGCACACUUUAGCAUUGACGUUACAGGAAAUUAACUUAGAACAUAAAUGGCAUUUCGCUUCCUCAUUAUCUUUGGCUUUACUGAAAUGUAGCCAAGCCUUUAACCGCUUUGCAUGUUCAGCCAUCCUAGCAAGCAACCAAUUGACCAAAUGAGAAAUGAAGCGAAUGUGGCCGUGAGGCAAUUCAAUUCUUCUUUGUUUAGUUUAACGGCAGUUGGCAGGCAAUUCAAUUGAAUUGAAAAACUUUAUUAAACAAUCAAUGUUUGUUUGUGCACCAGUGAUUUGAUUUAAAUGACAUAACUCGUCUCUUGAGACAUAACGUUACAUUAUAGGACCCGCUAGUCUCAAUAUCAGUAUCGAUAAGCACGAACCUUAGUGACUUUCGGGUUUUGAGAAAUUUGGAACUGGGUCCUUUAUAAGACUGGGUCUCGAUCCCCAUCCCUAUUCAAAGAGGUAGUCCACAAACCAAUGGGUGACGUCACGGUGACUACGUCCACUUCUUUAUACAGUCUAU